AUAAUCGAGUUUUGAUUGGGACCCUGUUGUGGGAGAAACGGCUAUAUUUGAAGGGUACAAAAACUAUUUUGAGCAGCUAACUACACUUUUUUUUUUGAUAACAGCAGCUAACUACACUUGGAAUGAGUAGUUGCUUCUGCUUGAGGAUGCCAUGGACAAGUUGCUCUGGCCCUGGCGUCGCAGCCAUGGAUAUACAUGUCUAAUUGUUGCUCUUAUGUAAUUUGGUUGCUUUUGAGUAGUUGGUCUCAAAGAAUUUCAUAGUUGCCUGGAUGUUGUAUUAGUUAAGCUAUUUCUAGAUCUGCCACAGGCUGAGUAUUAUAACUGUGAUUUGGUCGUAUUGGUAGCCUCCCGAGCUAAUCUUUUGUAGGUUUUCUUAGCUUGUUUCUGUGAAUAGGAUUUGGUUUAGUUCUCAAUUGUAGUUUGUUGUUAAUGGUUGUUCGGAUGGGUGUGGCCUCUUUGAAGUCGUGGUUAUGUUUUCAUUUGCACUAGGCUGGUCAUGUUGGUAGCCUCGCGUCGUAGUCUUGGUUUGAUACGUCCAAUUAUGAUUUAGACUUCAUUUUGCACAUCUUAUUGCUUAUACUUCAUAAGUUGACAAAGCUGCUCACAUAAGGUCAUUUUCUUUUUAUGGUUUCUCAGUUUGUAUAGUUUACUUGAAUGUUGAUAUGCUUCUCUGCAGGAUGCUUUUGCAGUUUCCUGUUCAUGGGGUACUCUUAAUUAGUGAGUUAUUUUUUCUUUGAAUGGUUAAGCAAUCCACGAUUCACUAUGAAUGAAGUGGGAGGUCUAAGGGAACAACUAAGGUUAUAUUGCAAGGUGUGAUGAUGCCCGCCUUUUGGAGCAUGUUCAACUUUUAUAGACCUAUUAGCUUGCUAUGCUUGACGACUAAACACUUGCUGCUGCACUUCUGUUAUUUAUAUUCUUUUUUGAACAACUAGCGCUCGUCUGUGUUGUGUAUGAGUGAACACUGCAAUGAUCUAUUUCAGUUAAGUGCACUUGCUUUUAACA